CAAACACGCCCUAUAAAUAACCUCAUCGUCAUCAUUUAGCCACUAAACUUCUUCCAGUGCUCCAGAUAAUUUUUGGCGUUGAUGAGUAUUUACUCACCAUUUUUUUUAUGUAUGAGUAUCGGCAAGAUCCCUAUGAGUACUCCUUGUUGGCAGUACUCAUCAUAUUUUCUUAGUAUGAGUAUCGACCAGAAUAUUAACAUAUCUUGCCUUUACAACCUCAUUAUCAACAAGCUUAGAUCACACACGUUCGACUUUCCUUAUUUGGAAUUAAUUCCGGGAAGGUCGAGUAGACUGCGUUCCAGUCGCAACACCAAUUCUAACUUCAGAGCUUUGUAAAAUAAACUACACACAGGAACCAGUCACGAUAGAUAGUAGAUAGACUGGUUCACGUACUGACACACAGCAGCCAUAGCGAACUUAAUGAGUGGGGCACCGCGACCAAGCUACCAGUCUAUUAGCGAGAGAGUCGAGCCGAUACGGGAGUAGAUGGAAGGUUAGCGUACUGAUACGAUCUGUUUGUUUUCUCAUGUACGUAUUUAUUAAAACACAAGCGUAUCUAUACGCAUA